UACAGGGAAUAUCUGUCAUCUGUGAUGCCUUGAUAGAUCAUAUGCUGGUGGUCUGUCCAUUGUAUGAGAUGUCCCCAUUAGCUGUGCCUUGGAAGUUUCCACCAUCAGGAACCACAGAGAGACAGGCUCCAGGGAUCCUGUGCUAUUUGAGACCCACAAGAAAAGACCCUGUCCUGGAGCAGCCUAGGGGAGCCUGAGCAUCAAGAGAUGAGCUUCCUAGAGCAAGGAGACAGUUCCUCAUGGCCUUCACCAGCCACGACCACCAGUUCAGAAAUAAUCCAUGGGAAACGGGGGGGCAAGGCAUCAAGAUGGACGAGGCAGGAGGCUGUGGAGGAAGGAGAACCACUGGAUCUGGAAGAAGGUCCCCCUUCCAGGCCAGCUGCUGAGUCCACCGGGCUGGAGGCCACAUUCCCAGAAGCCACACCCUUGGCCAAAGCUGCUCCCUUGGCCCGGGUGGGCACCAAGCCCACAGGGUGGGAACUCUUCCCCCAGCACUCUGCAGCCUCAGCCGCCAGCUCCAGCACAGAUGAUCUGGAGGUGGCCAUUGAGUUCCCAGCCCCAGAAGCCUGGGGCUUUGAACUUGAAGGCCCUGGGGAAGAGAGGCCUGCCCCAUGCCCAUCGCCACAGGCUCCAUUACUCAGCCUGGGCUGGGAGGACGAGCUGCAGAAGCCUGGGGCCCAGGUCUACAUGCACUUCAUGCAGGAGCACACCUGCUAUGAUGCCAUGGCAACCAGCUCCAAGCUGGUCAUCUUUGACACCACGCUGGAGAUCAAGAAGGCCUUCUUUGCCCUGGUGGCCAAUGGUGUGCGGGCAGCACCUCUAUGGGACAGCAAGAAGCAAAGUUUUGUGGGGAUGCUCACCAUCACAGACUUCAUCCUGGUGCUUCACAGAUACUACAGGUCCCCCCUGGUCCAGAUCUAUGAGAUUGAAGAACAUAAAAUCGAGACUUGGAGGGAGAUCUACCUCCAAGGCUGCUUCAAGCCUCUGGUCUCCAUCUCUCCCAAUGACAGCCUGUUCGAAGCCGUCUAUGUCCUCAUUAAGAACCGGAUCCAUCGCCUUCCAGUCCUGGAUCCUGUCUCUGGCACGGUGCUCUACAUCCUCACACACAAGCGGCUGCUCAAGUUCCUGCACAUUUUUGGUGCCCUGCUGCCCCGGCCCUCCUUCCUCUACCGCACUAUCCAAGAUUUGGGCAUCGGUACAUUCCGAGAUUUGGCUGUGGUACUGGAAACAGCGCCCGUCCUUACGGCACUGGACAUCUUCGUGGACCGGCGUGUGUCUGCCCUGCCUGUGAUCAAUGAAUCUGGUCAGGUCGUGGGCCUCUACUCCCGCUUUGAUGUGAUUCAUUUGGCUGCCCAGAAAACCUACAACCACCUAGACAUGAGUGUGGGAGAAGCCCUGCGACAGAGGACACUGUGUCUGGAGGGGGUCCUUUCCUGCCAGCCCCACGAGAGCCUGGGAGAAGUCAUUGACAGGAUUGCUCGAGAACAGGUACACCGGCUGGUGCUAGUAGACGAGACCCAGCAUCUCCUGGGCGUGGUUUCCCUCUCCGACAUCCUUCAGGCGCUGGUGCUGAGCCCUGCUGGCAUUGAUGCCCUCGGUGCCUGAGAAGACGAGUCCUCACUCCUAUUCCCCUCACCUUCCAUACCCUGAAGACAAGGAAAGGAGCAGGGGACCCAGAUUUCAUCUUUCCCCAUCUGUUUGCCAAGUCAGCUCUGUUCCAGGCUUCUCCAGCCUUCCUGAUUGUCCUUGCCCUGCCUAUACUCCCCAAAGUUCUUGGGCAUGCCCAGUGCACUGUGGGAUGAUGAAAUUAAGGAGAACAACUGAGUCAAGGCUGGAGGUCCCUGAAGCACAGGCACUGGGACUACCCCAGGGCCAUCUAUGCCCCAUAUGCACUCAUAUCCCUUUCCCCUACCUGGAUCAGGCUGGUUGGGAUGUGAUAGUGAGCCAGUAGCCUGUAGGCUUAUUCAAGGGCUCUGGAUUCCUGGGCUUCUGGACUGUGUUUGGCUCGCACCUGGGAGACCCAACUGUUCUUUCCCCAUGGGGACCACUUUAGUGGUUCCCUAUAACUUUGCCGCUGCCCUUCUACCCUCCUGGCGUGGUCAUUUCAGGGCUGCUAGGGUCACAAUGGAACAGCAGUUACUUGUAGAACUGUCUGAUGGUGGGGGUCUUCUCUCCAUGGUAGUCCAGAAAAUGCCUUAUCUCUCACCAGUGACAGAUGACCUUGUAUUUGGAUCCCUGAAAAUGAGCAAUCAAAAACACAAAUGCAAAAAGAACAAGCCAUGAACUUGAAUUUUUAUAAAUUCCACUCAAAAUGCUAGGUGUUUAACCUAACUUUCUGAAGAUCCUUCUGCUUUCUGAAUGUAAGACUUGGAGGAAAAGUCUACGAUUGACAAAAGCAGCAAGUGGCGUUUCUUUUGUGCAUAGAAUGUUAUUCCACUGACUUUUAAAAAAAUGUUUUCUUUAUAACAAAAAUCAUAAAAUAUUUAUUAAUUUAUUACAUGGUAGGUAAAACCCAGUCUAUAAAACUCGAGCUUGUAAGAAAUAGCUAUGUUUCUAACACUGAAUGCAAUUUCUAUUAUGAACCCCAUACCAGGUGGUGGAAAUUGAUCUAGUCAAUUUGGAGUCUCUUCCCAUCUUUUCCUGGGACUAAGUUUGGAAAACUUUAAGUAGCAUAAGCCUUUGUUCCCCAGUGCAGCAUCCACCAUGCCAGUACCUGCUGAAACAUCCCUGUUGGCAGUUGGUCGAUCAUUGGUGUGCACAGUCACAGACAUUGCCAUGUGCUCCCUUACUCCCAAAGCCUGUUGGAGCCUGACUGUGCUUGGGGCAAGCAAGACAUUUUAGCUCCAGUCCCUCCAUCCCUCUGGGUUUUGGAAGCUCUAUGAGGCUGUUCCAGGCCCAUGUGCUGAGCUGUACAGCUAGUAUCCUGUUCUACCCUACAUCUUACCAUUUUUUCCAGACUCUACUGGGAACACGGGGCACCAGGCUCUUCUACCCUUAGACUCUCCUCACCUGUAUGAGGUAUUUAUCAUACAUACCCCUUCCCCUUCAGACUUUUCCCCUUUUCUUAGGGACCCCAUAAAUGUCCACUGCCAUCUCCAGCCCAUCCCAACCUAUGGAACCUUUACCAAUGGGGAGAGAGGAGACCUUGGUCCUCUAACCCAUCAUAUUUAUAUUCGGCCAAAUCCACAGUCUGUGUCCUGAGUUCUUGCUACCCACUGUGAGGAUCAGCCUUUUGAAACUCCAAGGCCAAGACUAGGCUUCUCCUCUGUCACCCUCCCCUGUGGCAAUGGGCACCGAAGCUCCAGUUGUCUCAUGCAGGAAGCAUAGGUUAAUAUUUCUGAAAUAUGAUCUUGCCCCCAUUACCUCCCAGAGCUGCAGAGUGGAGACAUUUGUGAUGAUCUGUCAGGCAGGAAAUGAAGGUAUUUUCUCACUAGCCAUUUUGCCAGAUCCCAGAGUCUCUGCUGGCUCUGCUCUGUCCCUUAGGAAGGUGUGAGGUAUUGGCUCGAGUGGGAGGAUGAGAAGGGGGCAACAGUUGCGUCUGGGCCAAAGGAAGAUCUCUCAAGUGACAAUGUCCUUGGGGAGUUCAGGGUGGGCUGCCCCCAGCAAGCGCUGGCUCUGGAGAAUGUAAUAACAACCUUGAUGGUGUGACUCUGAGUUGCUGUGCCUGAGUCAGGCCUUCAGGGGUGAUAGCAAGGCUGAGGAAGUCAUCAGGUCCCCUUGGGCUCCCCUCACACUUUCCUGAGAAUAUGAACAACUCUACUUGUGUGGGGUCACCAUUCUGAGGACACAGCAGAGCUCCUCCUUGGGCGCUUUGUGGGGAACCAUCCCACCUCCCUGUCUCUUUUGAUCAAGUUCCACCCUCAGCUUCUGGCUCACCCUUGCAGCCAUCAUGGCUACCAGAAAAAGAGAUGUAGAAUUUCCAUGGAGGCUGCAAGCACUUCCACCCUAGCUCAGAAUAACCCUUCCCUAAAGUGCAGUCUGCCCUGCUGUCCCCUCGUGCCUAAGUAGGGGUCAAGCAUUGUUGUCCCCAGCUCCUCUUCAGUCCCCCAAGGCUUCUCUGCAUUUCUGUGCCCUCAGGGCUGGACUGUCAGGCCUCCUUUGCUUUCCCCAUCUCUUCUCUCAACCCUCUCAAUGGUUCUCGGCCCUGGGUGUGCUUCAGGAUCACCAAGGAAGCUUUGUAAAAUCCAGAGCCCAGGGACUCAUUCAUAGAUAUACCCAUUUCCUGAUUUUGGAGUGUAGCCUGGGCAUCUAUGUUUAUUUUCUAUAAAAACAAGAAACUUACAGUUACUAACACAUGAUGAGCAUGAGAGUGUGCUGAGAAAGCAGGAUGAAUGUCUUAUUGCAUAGUAAAGUCAAUGCAGUUCCCUGUCUAUUGUCACAUGAUGGGAUCUAUCUAUUAUUAAAUUUUGACUAAAGUCUACAAGAAGCAAUGGCUAAGAAUGACAGCAUGUUAUAAAGGACAUGUAAUUUAUUAGCCUCUCACAGAUCCUCUUCCCAACAUCCUUAAGCACAACAGUAUUCAGUAUAAUGUUAUUAUUGUUCAUUCCAUGAUGACAGCUGUCAAUUUUUACUUGACAGACAUAUUAAAACUAGAAUCAUACACAACAAUUUGGAAAAAAAUUUCUAUUAUCAAACCAAGAUGCAUUCAGAGCUAAAAUGUCUACAGAACAUGAGUGUUUUAAUAAAGCAGACAUCCAGGCAAUGCCGGCGCCCUUGUCUAUUUUUAAUCACAAGAGUGUUGGCUAGUUGUUUAAGAAGACAAGCUGUUCUCUUAAAAACCUUACUCAAAAUAUCGAUCCCACUUUGACCAACAAAUUCCAAUGAGCUGGACUGGGAGUAACAAAAGGUGCGUUCUUUUCAGUUAAAGGUGUAUCUGCUGGGCUGAAUCAAUCUACAAUUAUCCUACAUCUGCUAAUAUUUUUCCUUAUAGAGGCAGGUAGGGUGGGCCAUCAGGGAGCCUCACUGUAACAUCCCUUUGCUGUGACUCUUGGGCACCCUGAGAUUCUCAGACCCUGGAAGGGGGUGCCAUUACUGGCCACUUAUGGGCUUUGUGCCAACCCUCCAACAGGGCUUCUGCUGUUCACCCUGCACAGAGAAAGCUGCAAGGGAAGGGACCUACCUAUGACAUCACAUCCACCCUGUCACACUUAUGCGUGCUUGAACGAACCACUGUCAAAUAAAGUAAUGUUUUCGUUUACAUUAAAGCAGUCUUGUGAGGCAUUGCAAUGGAAUAUGC